AUCAACCAUGGCGAUGCAUGCGCUCAUGACUCAUGGAGCAGCUUGUGCGGCUCUAGGCUCAUCUUCUUCCACCAAUCCUUUUGAUGUUCUAGGCAGCGCUCUUAUCGGUUCUUCUUCCAAGACUUAGGUUUGUCAUCUUCCUCGUUGCUUCUUUCACUUUCAAUUUCUCUUCUCCAUUUCGAAUUUUCAAUCCUCAACGACGUCAUUUUCUCAAGCUUUCGUUUGAUUCACGAGCAGGAUGCCCACAGCUUCUGCACCAGAUCUGAGAGAAGGCUCACAAGGAUGAGAUUAAGAAGAACUAAGAGACCAUUUCAAGGUCAGCCGAAUCAUACUGGUAUGAUUCAGUUUGAUUAUCGCCGAAAUUUAAAGCUCGUUGAGCAGUUUCUUUGCGAUUUUGUGAUUAAUUUGAAUAUGUCUAUGGUUUUUUCCCUUAGUUUUGUACUUCAUUUACAAAUUACGAUAAAUAAAUUGAUUAAAAAAAAAUUGAAAAUUACUUGCUUGCUUAUUUGUGUUAGUUAUAAUAUGAUUUGUAAUGCUGGUACUGUGUUUCUAGUUCUUAGCAUAAUGGUUGAGCAUCUACAUAAACAUUUACUGUUUGUAUGAUCUAUAUGCUAAGCUACUAUUAGUUAAUGUUGUUUACUUGUUACGAUUCCUUUUUCAGCGAGUUGAAACCUAUAAGUUAUCUAGCUUGUUUUUGCUGCUAUAUAUAUAUAUAUAUAAUGUGAAAAUAUAUUGUAUUAUGCCUUUCAGAAUAAUGAACCGUUAAUGAAGUCACUGUCAAAGCAAGUCAAUCUUAACAAUCCAGAUCUUGUCUUGUUUGUUGAAGAGGCACUUGUUCGAAAUGGUGUUGUUGAUCAGCUUUCAAA
rnacentral:lncRNA from 1 species